rnacentral:rRNA from 1 species
GAUGAACGCUGGCGGCGUGCCUAAUACAUGCAAGUCGAGCGAAUGGAUUAAGAGCUUGCUCUUAUGAAGUUAGCGGCGGACGGGUGAGUAACACGUGGGUAACCUGCCCAUAAGACUGGGAUAACUCCGGGAAACCGGGGCUAAUACCGGAUAACAUUUUGAACCGCAUGGUUCGAAAUUGAAAGGCGACUUCGGCUGUCACUUAUAGAUGGACCCGCGUCGCAUUAGCUAGUUGGUGAGGUAACGGCUCACCAAGGCAACGAUGCGUAGCCGACCUGAGAGGGUGAUCGGCAACACUGGGACUGAGACACGGCCCAGACUCCUACGGGAGGCAGCAGUAGGGAAUCUUCCGCAAUGGACGAAAGUCUGACGGAGCAACGCCGCGUGAGUGAUGAAGGCUUUCGGGUCGUAAAACUCUGUUGUUAGGGAAGAACAAGUGCUAGUUGAAUAAGCUGACACCUUGACGGUACCUAACCAGAAAGCCACGGCUAACUACGUGCCAGCCGCCGUAAUAC